GAGGCCUGCUCUGAACUGGACCCAGAACCCGCCUUUCUAAUUGCUCCUCGAUGACUAAUGGGGAGAUAAGUCAGUGAGAUGUGUCCCAGGAGGGGGAUGCAUAAAGAGCUGUUGGAGUUCAAAGGAAAGAUGGUCGUCUCCUAAAUAGCUCACCUUCACAAGCAGGGUCUUGUAUUUGAUGCAGGAGCUGACAUGGACCCAAAUCCUCGGGCGGCCCUGGAGCGCCAGCAGCUCCGCCUUCGGGAACGGCAAAAAUUCUUCGAGGACAUUUUACAGCCAGAGACAGAGUUUGUCUUUCCUCUGUCCCACCUGCAUCUCGAGUCACAGAGACCCCCCAUAGGUAGUAUCUCAUCCAUGGAAGUGAAUGUGGACACACUGGAGCAAGUAGAACUUAUUGACCUUGGGGACCCGGAUGGAGCAGAUGUGUUCUUGCCUUGCGAAGAUCCUCCACCAACCCCCCAGUCAUCUGGGGUGGACAACCAUUUGGAGGAGCUGAGCCUGCCAGUGCCUACAUCAGACAGGACCACAUCUAGGACCUCCUCCUCCUCCUCCUCCUCCGACUCCUCCACCAACCUGCAUAGCCCAAAUCCAAGUGAUGAUGGAGCAGACACACCCUUGGCACAGUCGGAUGAAUAGGAGGAAAGGGGUGAUGGAGGGGCAGAGCCUGGAGCCUGCAGCUAGCAGUGGGCCCCUGCCUACAGACUGACCACGCUGGCUAUUCUCCACAUGAGACCGUAGGCCCAGCCAGAGCCUUUUGGGAGAAGACCAGACUCUUUACUUGCAGUAGGCACCAGAGGUGGGAAGGAUGGUGGGAUUGUGUACCUUUCUAAGAAUUAACCCUCUCCUGCUUUACUGCUAAGUUUUUCCUGCUGCAACCCUCCCACCAGUUUUUGGCUUACUCCUGAGAUAAGAUUUGCAAAUGAGGAGAAGAUGAGGUUGGACAAGAUGCCACUGCUUUUCUUAGCACCCUUCCCUCCCCCAAACCAUCCUGUAGUCUUCUAAUAGAGUCUCUCAAACAAGUGUCUCUAGAUGGAUGUGAACUCCUUAACUCAUCAAGUAAGGUGGUACUCAAGCCAUGCUGCCUCCUUACAUCCUUUUUGGAACAGAGCACCGUAUAAAUAAUAAACUAAUAAUAAUAUGCCAAAAAAAAAAAA